UACAGAGGGUGCGAGCGUUGUCCGGAAUCACUGGGCGUAAAGGGCGCGUAGGUGGCGACCCAAGUCGAUGGUGAAAGCUCGCCGCUUAACGGCGAGUCGGCCACCGAUACUGGGUUGCUCGAGCACUGUAGAGGCAGAUGGAAUUCCGGGUGUAGCGGUGGAAUGCGUAGAGAUCCGGAAGAACACCGGUGGCGAAGGCGGUCUGCUGGGCAGUAGCUGACACUGAGGCGCGACAGCGUGGGGAGCAAACAGG
rnacentral:rRNA from 1 species